rnacentral:rRNA from 1 species
AUUGAACGCUGGCGGCAGGCCUAACACAUGCAAGUCGAACGGUAACAGGAAGCAGCUUGCUGCUUUGCUGACGAGUGGCGGACGGGUGAGUAAUGUCUGGGAAACUGCCUGAUGGAGGGGGAUAACUACUGGAAACGGUAGCUAAUACCGCAUAACGUCGCAAGCCCAAGGAGGGGGACUUUCGGGCCUCUUGCCUUCGACUUGGCCCAGAUGGGAUUAGCUAGUAGGUGGGGUAACGGCUCACCUAGGCGACGAUCCCUAGCUGGUCUGAGAGGAUGACCAGCCACACUGGAACUGAGACACGGUCCAGACUCCUACGGGAGGCAGCAGUGGGGAAUAUUGCACAAUGGGCGCAAGCCUGAUGCAGCCAUGCCGCGUGUAUGAAGAAGGCCUUCGGAUUGUAAAGUACUUUCAGCGGGGAGGAAGGGAGUAAAGUUAAUACCUUUGCUCAUUGACGUUACCCGCAGAAGAAGCACCGGCUAACUCCGUG